UAAAAGGCGAAGAUUCCGAGUCAGGUGG
rnacentral:sRNA from 1 species